UGCUCCUGUUGGUUAGCGGCGGACGGGUGACUAACACGUGGGCAACCUGCCUGUAAGACUGGGAUAACACCGGGAAACCGGUGCUAAUACCGGAUAAUCCUUUUCCUCUCAUGAGGAAAAGCUGAAAGUCGGUUUCGGCUGACACUUACAGAUGGGCCCGCGGCGCAUUAGCUAGUUGGUGAGGUAACGGCUCACCAAGGCGACGAUGCGUAGCCGACCUGAGAGGGUGAUCGGCCACACUGGGACUGAGACACGGCCCAGACUCCUACGGGAGGCAGCAGUAGGGAAUCUUCCACAAUGGACGAAAGUCUGAUGGAGCAACGCCGCGUGAGCGAUGAAGGCCUUCGGGUCGUAAAGCUCUGUUGUUAGGGAAGAACAAGUACCGGAGUAACUGCCGGUACCUUGA
rnacentral:rRNA from 1 species